CACCGCGGUUAUACGGGAGGCCCAAGUUGUUAAAAAUCGGCGUAAAGGGUGGUUAAGAGCAAGCUUAAAAUUAAAGCCGAACGCCUUCUAGGCUGUUAUACGCAUCCGAAGGUAAGAAGCCCAAUCACGAAAGUAGCUUUAUAUUUUCUGACCCCACGAAAGCUAAGAUA
rnacentral:rRNA from 1 species